rnacentral:rRNA from 1 species
UACGAAGGGGGCUAGCGUUGUUCGGAAUCACUGGGCGUAAAGCGCACGUAGGCGGAUUUUUAAGUCAGGGGUGAAAUCCCGAGGCUCAACCUCGGAACUGCCUUUGAUACUGGAGAUCUUGAGUCCGGAAGAGGUAAGUGGAACUGCGAGUGUAGAGGUGAAAUUCGUAGAUAUUCGCAAGAACACCAGUGGCGAAGGCGGCUUACUGGCCCGGUACUGACGCUGAGGUGCGAAAGCGUGGGGAGCAAACAGG